CCAGGCUGUUAUUUCUUGAAUUAUUACCUCUGUACCUGAGGUACAGUGUCAGUAUUGCUAAAAGAAUGUCUUUUAAUGCCCUGGAUCAUUAAAACCGAAUAAUCUCUUUGAAAUAGCUUAACUGCUUCCUGCAAGGAGAUAAAGCAAAUGAAACUGUCAUCUCAGCGUCCGCCGUCACCAUAUUGAUGCAGCUUUUCUUUUCUCUUUUUUAAAAUAACUGCAUUCGUUUUAUUUCAGGCCAAUGCAUUUGUGUCAUGCUGGUGGUAUAUAAAUUUGGUAAUUAAAUCCUGUUAUCUUGACACUAUGGGCAGAAUAAGAAUCACUUGUGAUGUUUUAGAGAGGGAAAAUACUGAAGGAAGAGAAAGGGUUGUUCUGUAUUCUUUAAAAAUUGUUAUCCUGGAGAUUCAAAAACAUUUUUUUAGUACUGGGUAGUUGACAGAUGCCUAACGGAGGUUCUCCUCUGAGGACAGCGCCUAGUGAAUCCUGUGAAGUUGCUCUCACUUUGUGUUCCCCUCCUGCAGAGAAGAGUGUAAGAUGGAGUUAAUCCUGGAAGUUGAAUUUUUAGCUACACUCCUGACUUCCCACCUGGCCUACCUCAGACAAGUAACCUUCCUCCUCUGCCCAUAUGGGUGUUUGAGGCUGCAAUAAAGAGAAGUUCAACCCAGUCACCAAAAGAACCAGGAGUAUAAUAUAAUAUUCUGUAUUAGUAAGCUGUGGUUUAAAAUAACCACAGAGGGCUGAGUUUGGCAGCUUACCAGUGCACCUUCCUCAGUGGGCUAGCCUGGGCCUUUUAACCUAGGGGCCCCACCAUCAAAACCUGGCUGCCAGGAUUUUCAGAAAUUCCAUGCAGAUUUAACAAUGUUCGUUUCUUUUAUCAGAAAGAAAAUAUGUUCUGGAAACUCUUUUGAUGAUGCCGCAACAUUUCCCAUUUUUCUAGAAAUCUAUCGCUUGUUUUAUUUCUUCGCCAGACAUCACUUCGCCAGACAUUCGCCAGACAUGUGCCACAGUGUCCUCUUCCUCCUUGCUGAGCUGGUCAUGGGACUCUUGAAGGGUACAAUCGUGCAGAGAAGUUUAGAUACCAGGCGAAGUCCAGGUUUGAUUAGGAAGAUGGACAAAGGAGAGAUGGUUGUUGGGUUAGCAACUGGCAGAUUCUGCAGCAGCCAUUUUGGAGUCUCUGUUUUUUUCUUUGGUGACAGUGGAACCACAGAUGCCCACCUCUAAAAUAUUACUGUGAAGAAUCAAAGAGAGGAAUAAGCUAUGUUGACUUCCCAAGCUGUCUGGCCUAGAUGUGUCAGUAGGCUGGAGAGCUGACUUGAGGAUGGUUGACUCCUUCAGAAUGUGCCAGCUAGUGAGCAUGGCUAUUGUGACGGGCAUCUCCAACAAGGAAUGGUGCAGCCUGGGGUCCUUGGUUGAACUGCUUACUGCAUCAUCCCUCAGACAAUAUGAGGAGCACCAAGCAGGCCUUCUCUCCUUGAUGCCCUCACGCAUAGACGUCGUCUUUCCAAGUCCUUUGUCCCACAUCUUCACCAUUCUUCGGGAGACCCCACGCCUUCUCCCAGGAGCUCAGGGGCUCACCCUGUUCCCACAUGUGCCUUACUGCCUACGUUAGGAAAUGGAGCAUCUGCCAGGAGAAGCUCUGAGGGACUGGAGAGGAAAGUCUGGCAUCCUCGGCCAUGGCUGCCUGCUGGCUGCAUCAGCACAGAGCUUGCAGGAAGGUUUCCCUCUCCUUGGAGACUCUACAGUCCUGAAAAAAAGAGAGAUCAUCCUUCCUAUUAGGAAUGCUUUGUUCUCGCCUUUUACAUAGCAUUAGCCGUUAUUAUGCUAAGAACCAUUUGGCUUUGUCCGUGAAUCUGCGGUUGAAUGACAUUUCACCGGUCACGGCUGACAAUUCAAUGGCUCCUCCUGGGGUACUCAGGAGAAUGGCCCCGUUUGGCUUGGUUUGGAUUGUGCUGUUGGGGAUUCCCUUCACAAAAGGAGAGGGAGGACUGAGGACUCUGGUUUAUUUCACUCCUGUGAUUUUGCAAUAUAUAUUUGUGGUGAACAAAAGUCUGUUUACCAUAUCACGGUGUAUGAGAUAGAACUCCUGGGUAACAUGUGAAGUUUGACUGAGGUGCAUUUAGGCCACAAAGAAGGACAUGUCAGAUUAUCUAGCGGAAAAUAAAGUGUGUGUGUGUGUGUGUGUGAUUCUGGGGAUCUACAUAGGUUACCAGGCAGACACCCUUACCCUCUGUGACAUUUUCUUUUUUUUUUCUCAAGACAGGGGUUCUCUGUAAGUAGCCCUGGCUGUCCUGGAACUCACUAUGUAGACCUGGCUGUCUUAGAACUAGCUCUGUAGACCAGGCUGGCCUCAAACUCACAGAGAUCCUCCUGCCUCUGCUUCCUGAGUGCUGGGAUUAAGGGUGUGAGCCUCCACAGCCUGGCUUGUGCCACCUAUGUUACCCAUUGGUCUCCCGUCUUACUGUUUUGGAGCAGGGUUUCUCACUGGGACCUGAGACUUGCUGAUUUGACAGAAUGGCUGGCCAGUAAGCUCCAGGGCUCUUCUGCGUCUGCCUCCGCAUUGCUGGGAUUGCAGGACUUGGAAUCACGCACAGCUUCUUACACGGGUAUUGGAUUCUGAAUGCCCAUCCUCAUGCUUAUAUGGCAAGAAUUUCACCAACUUAGUCAUGUCUCUCUUCCUAAACUUCCUAUUUUUUUAUCCCAAAAUAUUAGACAAAAAAUAAAAAUUAUAUGUAGACUUUAAAAAGAUUAGAUUUGCAUAUAGUAAGUUAACCUGUAAAACCCUAAGAUAUCCAGUAAAAACUUAUUAGAAUUAAUGCCUUAAUUUCCAUACAAGUUGUAUGUAAAAGAACGUUCUACAGAGACCAACAACAUUUUUUUUUUUUUUUUUGGUUUUUACGAGACAGGGUUUCUCUGUAUUGUUUUGGAGGCUGUCGGUCCAGCCUGGCCUCGAACUCACAGAGAUCCACCUGCCUCUGCCUCCUGAGUGCUGGGAUUAAAGGCAUGCGCCACCACCGCCCGGCAACCAACAACAUUCUUAUGUAUUUGAGUUACUUACCAGAAAAACCCAAGGGAUGAGCAAACAGCAGAGUUUGGCUUAACCACCCUCCAGACCUCUCUUCUCUCACCGAUGAGUCAAGUUGUAACCAGACACAGUGUGCCUUUGGUAAGGACCCUAAACUGUGGCCUGUUGGCUCCAAAAACACCCCACACUUACCUUGUUUAUUGGAAUUACCAAGCACAGCUUAGCGAUAAGCUUGGACUGUAAGCUCCCUGAGACAGGGAUGCGGGAGACCUGGCUCACAAUGGAAUACCUAGUGUCCUGGAUCCUGGUUUUGAACAAAGUAAACAAUUCACAAAAUAGAAUAUCACCUGGAAAAACUCCUCUUUGGAGAAAUACAUGUGGCCCCUUUGAAGAAAAUGUUACAUAAAAGAUAGCCCUGGA